rnacentral:rRNA from 1 species
AGAGUUUGAUCAUGGCUCAGGAUGAACGCUAGCGGCAGGCCUAACACAUGCAAGUCGAGGGGUAAUUUUCCCGAGCAAUCGGGAAGAACGACCGGCGCACGGGUGAGUAACGCGUAUGCAACCUACCUUUAACUGGGGAAUAGCCCGAAGAAAUUCGGAUUAAUACCGCAUAAUAUUUUGGAAUCGCAUGGUUUCAUAAUUAAAGUUUCAACGGUUAGAGAUGGGCAUGCGUGACAUUAGUUUGUUGGUGAGGUAACGGCUCACCAAGACUACGAUGUCUAGGGGGUCUGAGAGGAUGAUCCCCCACACUGGUACUGAGACACGGACCAGACUCCUACGGGAGGCAGC